rnacentral:ncRNA from 1 species
UAACAGUUUGAACAGAUCCUUUACCAAAAGAUUUUUCGCCUAAAAUAAUGGCUCGAUGAUGAUCUUGAAGAGCCCCAGCCACAAUCUCUGAAGCAGAUGCAGACCCCUCAUUGAUAAGAACAACCAUAGGUAAACCGUUUGAUAUAUCUCCUUGUUCUGCAGAAUACUUAAUGGUAUCUGCUUCAUCACGGGAUCUUGUUGAGACAAUUUCGCCUUGUUCUAGAAAUAAAUCUGAAACAGCAACAGCUUGAUCUAAAAGACCUCCAGGGUUGUUU